AGUGAGAGAGGAAAACAGAGAUUAUGUUUUGGUAGAAAGCAUUACAGGGCGAAUCCUCUAUUGGCAGGGGAAGUUGAUGAGUGUUGAUCACUCUUAUAUUUUCUCAUCAUUUUCCUCUGCCAAAGGAGAUUUGCCUCGCAAUGCUUCCCUACCGUUAUGGCGUUAUUCAUUUCUCCAAUGUCCAAUCUACU
rnacentral:pre_miRNA from 1 species